rnacentral:sRNA from 1 species
AUUAGAGGCCAGGCACAGUGGCUUACCCCUGUAAUGCCAGCACUUUGCGAGGCUGAGGCGGGCGAAUCAUCUGAGGUUGGGAGUUUGACACCAGACUGGCCAACAUGGUAAAACCCCUUCUCUACUAAAAGAAAAAUACACACACACACAAAAAAAGUAGCCAGGUGCGGUCGCACAUGUCUGUAAUCCCAACUACGUGGAAGGCUGAGGCACAAGAAUUGCUUGAACCUGGGAGGCAGAGGUUGCAGUGAGCUGAGAUCGCACCACUGCACUCCAGUCUGGCCAACAGAACGAGACUCUGUCUCAGAAAUUAAUUAAUUAAUCAAAAUUAAUUGUCCAGCUUUGAUUUAGAAUCUUAACUGCUAUUACACGUCUCUUCUGUCUACCUUCAAAUAGGUCAUCUAAUACAUGGGAGAAACAUGGAUUUUGGAGUGUUUCUUGGGUGGAACAUAAAUAAUGAUACCUGGGUCAUAACUGAGCAACUAAAACCUUUAACAGUGAAUUUGGACUUCCAAAGAAACAACAAAACUGUCUUCAAGGCUUCAAGCUUUGCUGGCUAUGUGGGCAUGUUAACAGGAUUCAAACCAGUAAGGAGUCUGUUGUUACAUAAUUAUACAGGGACUGUUCAGUCUUUCACUGAAUGAACGUUUCAGUAUAAAUGGUGGUUAUCUGGGUAUUCUAGAAUGGAUUCUGGGAAAGAAAGAUGCCAUGUGGAUAGGGUUCCUCACUAGAACAGUUCUGG